CCCUUAGAUGUUCUGGGCGGCCCGCGCACUACAUUGGCACUGGCAACAAGAUCCUAGAUCUGGUAUUUCGGGGUAUUCUACCAACUGGUGUCGUGACUGGGAUUAACCCCUGCAAUUAUUGGUUAUGAACGAGGAAUUCCUUGUAAUCACGGUUUAUCAACCCGUGUUGAAUGCGUCCCUGCCCUUUGUACACACCGCCCGUCGCUCCUACCGAUGAAUCGUCCGGUGAAGUUCAUGGAGUCGCGGCUGCUCCAGCUGUUUUCGAAGUGAAAUGGACCUCNUNAUUUAGNGGAAGGAGAANUCGUANCA
rnacentral:rRNA from 1 species